rnacentral:rRNA from 1 species
GCGCAGCAGGCGAGAAUCCUCCGCAAUGCUCGAAAGAGCGACGGGGGACGUCCAAGUGCCUACGCUCAGCGUAGGCUGUUCCCGAGCCUAAAAAGACUCGGGGAGGUAAGGGCUGGGUAAGACGGGUGCCAGCCGCCGCGGUAAUACCCGCAGCCCGAGUGGUGGCCGCUAUUAUUGGGCCUAAAGCGUCCGUAGCCGGCUCGGUAAAUGCCUGGGUAAAAUCGUCUGGCCCAACCAGACGAAUUCCGGGUAGACUGCCGGGCUAGGGACCGGAGGAGGGAGAGGGUACUCCAGGGGUAGGGGUGAAAUCAGCAAAGGUGAGUUGCUGAUGUAACUUGCCUUGCAAGUCACAAUCCUGUAAUCCCCUGGAGGACCACCGGUGGCGAAGGCGCUCUCCUAGGACGGGUCCGACGGUGAGGGACGAAAAGCCAGGGGAGCAAAACCGGAUUAGAUACCCGUGUAGU